UCACCACCUUCUCCUCACGUGCUACGUACUUGAUCCUAAAGGUGCUCAAAACAGCGGGAUGUGCUUCUUUACACUGAAGAUUUCAGCUUUGGUGAUUGUGCUAACCAUGCACGUCGCACUUGUUGCACCUAAUCCUCAGGACUGCAUUGCAAGGAAUAGCGAAAGA
rnacentral:lncRNA from 1 species